GACGAACCGUGCGAACGUUGUUCGGAAUCACUGGGCUUAAAGGGCGCGUAGGCGGCUUCGCAAGUCCGGGGUGAAAGCCUCCAGCUCAACUGGAGAAGUGCCUUGGAUACUGCGGGGCUCGAGGGAGGUAGGGGUGCGUGGAACUUCCGGUGGAGCGGUGAAAUGCGUUGAUAUCGUGAGGAAUACCAGAGGCGAAGGCGGCUACCUGGACAAUUGCUGACGCUCAGGCACGAAAGCGUGGGGAGCAAAAGGG
rnacentral:rRNA from 1 species